ACAAUGGCCACUCAACUCUUCCUCUUC
rnacentral:piRNA from 1 species